rnacentral:misc_RNA from 1 species
AAGUCGUAACAAGGUUUCCGUAGGUGAACCUGCGGAAGGAUCAUUAACACGUAUCCACGUUUAAUAACCCGCGAAUUUCUUAGGAGGUUUUUCAAGAAAAGGCGCUUUAUCUUCGGAUAAAACACCCUGUUCUUUUGAGAUGGGACUAUUGAUUAAACUCCUUUGUUUAACACCUCUAACUAUUUGUGAGCUUCUUUAAAUCACCUUCGUGUGGUUUAUUAGAAACUGUUUCACUUUAGUUCGUUGUGUUUUACACUCUAAUUAUUUGGUGAGAAAUCACUUUAUAACUAGUUGUGUUGAAACCUUCAGGGACAAAUCUUCGGAUGAAUCUCUGUUGGUUACUAAACCCCUUUCUUAUCUAAAAGCCGUCUCUUUGUAGACCGCUUUUAACCGAAUACUGUACAACUCUUAGCAACGGAUAUCUUGGUUCUG